rnacentral:rRNA from 1 species
GAUCCUGGCUCAGGAUGAACGCUGGCGGCGUGCUUAACACAUGCAAGUCACGGGGGUCCAGCAAUGGGCAACCGGCGAACGGGUGCGUAACACGUGAGCAACCUACCGAAAUGAGGGGGAUAGCCGGCCCAACGGCCGGGUAAUACCGCAUACGCUCGAGACCAGGCAUUUGGACUCGAGGAAACCUCCGGGGCAUUUCGAGGGGCUCGCGGCCUAUCAGCUAGUUGGUGAGGUAACGGCUCACCAAGGCGACGACGGGUAGCUGGUCUGAGAGGAUGGCCAGCCACAUUGGGACUGAGAUACGGCCCAGACUCCUACGGGAGGCAGCAGUGGGGAAUCUUGCGCAAUGGCCUAACGGCUGACGCAGCGACGCCGCGUGAGGGAUGACGCUCUUCGGAGUGUAAACCUCUUUUGCCUGAGACGAAUUGCCAGCUUUAGCUGGUUUGACUGUAUCGGGUGAAUAAGCACCGGCUAACUCCGUGCCAGCAGCCGCGGUAAUACGGGGGGUGCGAGCGUUGUCCGGAAUCACUGGGCGUAAAGGGCGCGUAGGUGGCCUGAUAAGGGUGUGGUGAAAGUCCGGGGCUCAACCCCGGAUCGGCCGUGCCGACUGUUAGGCUAGAGUACUGUAGGGGCAGGCGGAAUUCCGGGUGUAGCGGUGGAAUGCGUAGAGAUCCGGAGGAAGGCC